UAUACUUGUCUGCAGCAGGGAAAGAGGAUGAUGCUAAAUAUGUUCUUAGCGAACAUCUAAAGUCUCAGAUCUAAAUUUGGUGACUGGGAAUAGAUUACACAACAGCUAGUGACUCCACACAAAGAACACAACAUUGACUCCUUUAUUGAAAACUGUGUUCUGGGGAGGCCUCACAACUGGCUUGAGUAAUGGCGUGUCGCAGAAGGGACUCUGAGGCUGGUGAUUAAAGGAAUGCAAGGAUGAUUGAAUGAGCCCGCCAUCUUCCUUCUGAGCCCAGCAGAGGCUCCAGAGUGCUCUCCACACUGCAGGACCUCUGGAUCACCUCGGGAUCACAGCUACUCUCUGAUGAAGUUGGUGGCGCUGUGGAGGAGGACCGCCGCCUCCUGGACGAGGACCGGGAGCGCUCAGCAUUGUAGGAGACAUGCUUGUCGUAGUUCUCCAUCUGUGUCUCAAUGAAGUCCCUUUGCUGCUGUCUGAUGGUCUGGCUGAUUAGCCCAGGGAGGGCAUGAAUGCUACCAAUCAAAGUCUCUAGUUUUGUUUCCAGGGUGACGAUCCUUUUCUCAAAGUCUUCACUCCUUUCAUUCAAGUCGGAAAUCAUGUCAUACAUGAUAUUCUGGGUCUGGAAAACAAGAAUGAGAAGAUAGAAACAGAGAAGGAAGAGGCUUAGUGACUUUUGCCUCAGAAGCGAACUGUCAACUCUU
rnacentral:lncRNA from 1 species